rnacentral:rRNA from 1 species
AACUAGAGUCUUGUAGAGGGGGGUAGAAUUUCAGGUGUAGCGGUGAAAUGCGUAGAGAUCUGAAGGAAUACCGGUGGCGAAGGCGGCCCCCUGGACAAAGACUGACGCUCAGGUACGAAAGCGUGGGGAGCAAACAGGAUUAGAUACCCUGGUAGUCCACGCCGUAAACGAUGUCUACUCGGAAUUUGGUACCUU